UUCCAUUCUCAGGGCGGGGUGAAAUUCCCCACCGGCGGUUAUAGCCCGCGAGCGCCACCUCUACGGGGUGGGUCAGCAGAUCCGGUGGAAUUCCGGGGCCGACGGUCAUAGUCCGGAUGGGAGAGAAUGUAC
rnacentral:ncRNA from 16 species